AGAGUUUUGGAUUUCUAAAACUCUAUCUCAUAAAAUUCAAAAUCCAAACUUAUUCCUCUUUGAUUUGAUCCAAACCACCUUCCAUGUAAGAAAGAAGAGAGGAAACCUUUUGUGAACAUGGGAGAGACCUGGGAGAGGGCUUUUGUCACACAAAAUAAGUCGAGAUUGGCGUUGAAUAAGAGAGAGGGCGUGGGGAAGGCUUAUGUGGC
rnacentral:lncRNA from 1 species